rnacentral:antisense_RNA from 1 species
CUUCACCGAGCCAAGCCACAACGGCUGAUCGCGGUCCUGCCCGUAUGUCGCCAGCAACGCCUGCGCCUC